rnacentral:rRNA from 1 species
GACGAACGCUGGCGGCGUGCCUAACACAUGCAAGUCGAACGGAGAUGUGGAAGUAGUAAUAUUGAAGCAUCUUAGUGGCGGACGGGUGAGUAACACGUGGGCAACCUGCCUUAGAGUGGGGGAUAACACCGAGAAAUCGGUGCUAAUACCGCAUAAUAUUAAGAAGUCGCAUGACUUUUUAAUCAAAGGAGAAAUCCGCUUUAAGAUGGGCCCGCGUCUGAUUAGCUAGUUGGUGGGAUAGAAGCUUACCAAGGCGACGAUCAGUAGCCGAUCUGAGAGGAUGAACGGCCACACUGGAACUGAGACACGGUCCAGACUCCUACGGGAGGCAGCAGUGGGGAAUAUUGCACAAUGGGGGAAACCCUGAUGCAGCAACGCCGCGUGGAGGACGAAGGUUUUCGGAUUGUAAACUCCUGUCUUUUGGGACGAUAAUGACGGUACCAAAAGAGGAAGCCACGGCUAACUACGUG